GUCUCCGCUGUCCGGGCGCACGGCGCUUCUCCCCGUGCACCGAGCACUCUCCGGGGCACACAAAGCCGCGGCUCACACCAGGGAGGGAUCCGGCGGCCAGGCCUGGGACACCCCGGCGCCGCCCCCUCGGAGAUCUCGGAGGGCCCACCGGCUCCCGGGUCCACAGCGGAGCUACUGGACCCGCCUCGGCCGCGCCGAAGGAGGGCGGGGAGUGGACCAUGUGAAUGGGCUUCGGAGCCUGAGCGCUGCACAGUGUUGAAGCAGGAUGCUGCUCUAGACGUGGAAAAAAAUCAGUCCUGCCGCUGUUUUAGAAGACAUGUGGUGUAUAUAAAGUUUGUGAUAGUUGGCGGAAAUUUUGCGUUUAAUUUGGGGAUCCAACAUGGCGGCGAGAGGGGAGGCAGCGCUUUCAGUACCUCCUCAACAAAGGGGUCAGAGAGACGCAUGGAUACGCUUAGAUAUGACCUGCUGAGAAACUCCUAGCAAAAUUCCACUAAAGAGAGACCGGCCGGGAAUUGGAAGGAUUUUUGGAGGUGACAGUCUGCGCUAGACGAGUGAAUCUCCGCCACGCAGCGCAGAGGUCCAGACCCGCCAGCCGCUGCCCGCGCGACUCGGCGACUGUCGGCUGCCUGCACGC
rnacentral:lncRNA from 1 species